GUCAAUGGAUUAUAACACUGAGGAGAUUCUUGGAUGAUUCCUCUGAGAGGGGAAUAACACAACCCAGAAAAUGUGUUGAGCAUUCAGGUGUAAGUAGAAGAUGUCUGUGGUUCCUCUACCACAUUGUGAAUCGUAAGUAACCAUCAGAAGGCCCAUCGCCACCUGCUUGCUUAGGAUUUCUGACCCAGGACAGUGAAUGGAGAGCCUUGCCUUAGCUUUGAAUUUCCAAAACACCCAGGCUCAUGGUACAGUAUAGUAUAUGGGGACAGAGAUGGUAAGUGUCAAAAUUUGUAUCUUUCCACAUAAGGCUUGGAUGGUAGGAGGUUUUUAAGAAGAAAAGCAUACCUGGAAAAAUUUUAUAUUCUAAGGGUUAACCUAUAGAUUAAGUAUCUUAAGUUUGUUUUUUCAUAUCCAUCAUUAUGAAGUACUUAGGUCCAGGAGAUCUGUUUGGAAAAACCAGUGAAGUAAUCAUAAGGACAAUUCUAGGAACAAAAUAUUUAUGCACCCCUAUUUUUUGAUGACUUAGACUCAUUAAGGAAUUUCAGCACAAAUGCACAAUUUUCUCAACAAAUAUUAUAAAAAAGAUACUGAAAAGGAUGGGAGAAGAGAAACAAUUGGGGAAAUAAGCAUUUGUAAGAACAUAAAAUGUUAAGAAAAGCUAAACACAUGAGAGUAUUUUAUUAACGCUUUCGUUCCCAUAAAGUAGGAGUUGAGGUCUAACAAGAAUGUUAAACAUUAAAGCUAAAAUUUAAAAUUUGAGAUAAGAGAAAUCAAAUUGAAAAUAAAGGCUAAAACCAAAUUCUAAAACGUCUGUAAAGAAGCAGUAAAAGUUUCAGGCAAAAUGACAAAACCCAAUGGGAUGAGAGCCUGAAGCUGUUAUUCUAGAUGAGAUUAAGGAUAAGGAAGAAUUAAGAGCUAAAAAUAUGGAAGUAAGAAAAAGCUUAAAGGGGAAAAUUGUGAGAAAAUUUGAAAUAUCAUAGAAGAUAAGUCAUUCUGACAUAUUACCAGAAUUAUUCUUCAAAAUGGAAUAAUCCUAUGAUGAUUUGUAAAAUGGCCAUUCUUUAAAAAAUUUUACAUUGCAGUUACAGAAGGAUGAUUCGCUUGUAGUGGGGUGGGCCAUUGGAUAGUGAAAGGCAGGUCAGGGGUGUCAAGGUGCCCCAACCCAGUAUGUGCAGAUGGGAUGGUGGGAUCUAGGUAGACCCAUGAUGAGAACAGAGGGGACAACAUGGAGUCUUGUUGGAAAGGCAGACUUUGUGAUAGCUCUUGCUUGAUUUUAUAUCUUGGUGGACCAUCAGAUUCUGAUUUUAAUGCAAAUACAUUCCAUUCCUUUAAAUAUAUACACUCUCUUCCAUAUGUAUUAUAAAUAAAAAAGAACUUAUUUAGAAUAGCUCUGGGCUCACUCAUGUUUUUGUAUAUUACUGUAUCCUUUUGGAGCUGUUCUCCAAACUCUAGAGGCACCAUUCAGACAGAAGAAAUCAAUUUCAGACACGAUGGGAUAACAGUUUUCAACUCACUGGGCUGCAAGUUUGCAGAUGAUAGGCUUGGAUGGGCUUCUCACAGGGACAAAGAGGACCAGAGAAUUUAAGAGCCUGCUCAGCCAUGCUUCUUGCCCUGAGCCUGGAGCGCAGGCAUUGCCUUACUGAAGGUCAGUCUUCUGAUGACCCUGGAGAGAGGACCAGAGGGGCCUCAGGGAUACUGAAGAGGAGCAUCUCCUUUUGCUAGAGCUAGAGGCAAUUCUCCCUGGAAGGCAGGAAUCCCACCAUGGAGAAUCAACAUGUGGCCAAUCACUGUUCUUUAUGAAUGUACUUCCUUCGGAAUGGAUGAGAAUAACCACAGGAAAUCAUCAUUGAAUAGUAGCUUUAACACAGACUCCUAUAGAAUGGAUAAAUACCUUCUGUCAAGAACACUGCUCCGGGGCACGAAUCCCACUAAAGAGUUGGCUUCAGACACUGGGAACUAUCAAGCAGGUCUCUGGAAAAAUUGUAGAGAAAUUAUCAGUCCUUCACCUGACUUUAAAGGACCCUUCAGUUUGUAGAAGGGGCUCAGAAAAAGAGCUGAUGCAGGUCUUGGCACUGUGCCAGUCAUAGAUGAAGUUGCUCAUCCAUGUCACACUGCCCAACAUGCGUCCGUGGGCCAGAUGCAUGAUGCCCUGCAGAGUAUCGUAAUACUGAGUUGUUAAUUUCAUAGUCUACUAUAGCAUCAAAGAAUGGCAGAGGCAGCUCACAAGCAGGAGAAGACAGCUAGCUGUGAAGCAGUUAAAUGACUGUCUUCCCUUGUGAAUGGUGUUUCUGUCAGUUCCCCGAGUCGUUGUCCUCUGCAACUCUCAAGCUGUCCCUGCUGCUCUGGAGGCAAGAUGUCACUGAGGUGACUGUUGCCCACGGAGGCUUCAUGGCUGGCCCCUGCUUCUGCCACUGGACAAAAACAACCUAAGAGGCCAGGAAGUUUAUUCCUAUGAAAUGUUGCUUCUCCAAAGGCCAUCUCAACUCGAUUACACAUUUUCCAAAUAAAAUCUCUUAUAUAAAAGCUUUUCUUGGGGUUUAUCUUUCUCGAAAGUGAUAUAACUUCAGAUAGAAGCUGAUUUGACCAACCAAAUGACUUUGACUCAGUCUUCUGGUUGAUCAUUAUCAUGUAAGAAA
rnacentral:lncRNA from 1 species